rnacentral:rRNA from 1 species
GACGAACGCUGGCGGCGUGCUUAACACAUGCAAGUCGAACGAUGAAGCUAGAGCUUGCUCUGGUGGAUUAGUGGCGAACGGGUGAGUAACACGUGAGUAACCUGCCCCGAACUCUGGGAUAACUGCUGGAAACGGUAGCUAAUACCGGAUAUGACCAAUGAAGGCAUCUUCUGUUGGUGGAAAGAAUUUCGGUUCGGGAUGGACUCGCGGCCUAUCAGCUUGUUGGUGAGGUAGCGGCUCACCAAGGCGACGACGGGUAGCCGGCCUGGGAGGGUGAUCGGCCACACUGGGACUGAGACACGGCCCAGACUCCUACGGGAGGCAGCAGUGGGGAAUACUGCACAAUGGGCGCAAGCCUGAUGCAGCAACGCCGCGUGAGGGACGACGGCCUUCGGGUUGUAAACCUCUUCUAGUAGGGAAGAAGCGAAAGUGACGGUACCUGCAGAAAAAGCACCGGCUAACUACGUGCCAGCAGCCGCCGUAA